UCUUAUAUAUCACACGAAUUAAAAUGGCGUCCUUAGUUGUAAUAUAUUUUAUUCUGCUGGUUCCGAUUUCAGUUACAGGUUUCGAUUGUUACACCUGUCCUUACAAAACCGAGCCUGAAAACUGCAGUUCAUUUAACAAUCCUAUAGAAAUGGAAUCAUUCAAUUUCACCUGUAAAGGGGUCAAGCAAACCAAAGGUGAAGAACUGUGUAAGAAAUACCCUGAUGCUGGGUAUACCCUGACGUGUACUGAAUCCGCAGGUGGUGUAACCAACUCAAAGGGAUGUGGAUAUAGAUGUAAAACUAAUGGAGCCAGUGAUGGACAUGAAUUAAAUAAAGUUACGAUGGGCAUAAUGCUAUUACUUUCUGGUUUCGAUUGUUACACCUGUCCUUACAAAACCGAGCCUGAAAACUGCAGUUCAUUUAACAAUCCUAUAGAAAUGGAAUCAUUCAAUUUCACCUGUAAAGGGGUCAAGCAAACCAAAGGUGAAGAACUGUGUAAGAAAUACCCUGAUGGUGGGUAUACCCUGACGUGUACUGAAUCCGCAGGUGGUGUAACCACCAAAAAGGGAUGUGGACAUAGCUGUAAAACUAAUGGAGCCAGUGAUGGACAUGAUUUAAAUAAAGUUACGAUGGGCAUAAUGCUAUUACUUUCUGGUGUAUAUUUAAAAUUAAAUUGAACAUGGUGUUAUUACCCCACGGUGUAUAUGUAGAAUUAAAUUGAACAUAAUGUUAUUACCCCCAGGUGUAUAUUUAAAGUUAAAUUGAACAUAAUAGUUUUAUCAACAGUUAUAUAUAUAUAUAAAAUUAAAUUGAACAUAAUGCUAUAACUCCCUGUGUAUAUUUAAAGUUAAAUUGAACAUUACGUUAUUACCCCAAGGGAUAUAUUUAACAUUACGAUUAGCAUAGUAAUUAUUAUUACUGUCUUUUGUAUAUUUAAAGUUAAAUUGGAUUUAUUGUUAGUACUGUCGUGUUUAUUUAUAAAGAUUUAUUGAUUACAUGAUUCACCGUUCACAUAUACAUUAUUAUAAAUGAUUAACGAUUACCGCUUAAUAAUAUAAAACCAUCUGUUCUAUGUAG